GAUGAACGCUGGCGGCGUGCAUAACACAUUCAAGUCGAACGGUGAAGUGACUUCGGUCACGGAUCAGUGGCGGACGGGUGAGUAACGCGUGAAUAACCUGCCUGUAUGUGGGGGAUAACAACCGGAAACAGUUGCUAAUACCGCAUAAUGUAUGGAGAUCGCAUGAUUUCCAUACCAAAGAUUUAUUGCAUACAGAUGGAUUCGCGUCCGAUUAGAUAGUUGGUGAGGUAACGGCCCACCAAGUCGACGAUCGGUAGCCGGACUGAGAGGUUGAACGGCCACAUUGGGACUGAGACACGGCCCAGACUCCUACGGGAGGCAGCAGUGGGGAAUAUUGCACAAUGGGCGAAAGCCUGAUGCAGCAACGCCGCGUGAGGGAAGACGGUCUUCGGAUUGUAAACCUCUGUCUUUGGUGAAGAAGAAAGUGACGGUAACCAAGGAGGAAGCCACGGCUAACUACGUG
rnacentral:rRNA from 1 species